rnacentral:rRNA from 1 species
UACGUAGGGGGCAAGCGUUGUCCGGAUUUAUUGGGCGUAAAGAGCGUGUAGGCGGUCUGGUAGGUCCGUUGUGAAAACUCGAGGCUCAACCUCGAGACGCCGAUGGAAACCAUCAGACUAGAGUCCGGAAGAGGAGAGUGGAAUUCCUGGUGUAGCGGUGAAAUGCGCAGAUAUCAGGAAGAACACCCGUGGCUAAGGCGGCUCUCUGGGACGGUACUGACGCUGAGACGCGAAAGCUAGGGGAGCAAACGGG